UGGGGAAUAUUGGACAAUGGGCGCAAGCCUGAUCCAGCCAUGCCGCGUGAGUGAUGAAGGCCCUAGGGUUGUAAAGCUCUUUCACCGGUGAAGAUAAUGACGGUAACCGGAGAAGAAGCCCCGGCUAACUUCGUGCCAGCAGCCGCGGUAAUACGAAGGGGGCUAGCGUUGUUCGGAUUUACUGGGCGUAAAGCGCACGUAGGCGGACUAUUAAGUCAGGGGUGAAAUCCCGGGGCUCAACCCCGGAACUGCCUUUGAUACUGGUAGUCUUGAGUUCGAGAGAGGUGAGUGGAAUUCCGAGUGUAGAGGUGAAAUUCGUAGAUAUUCGGAGGAACACCAGUGGCGAAGGCGGCUCACUGGCUCGAUACUGACGCUGAGGUGCGAAAGCGUGGGGAGCAAACAG
rnacentral:rRNA from 1 species